UGGCGGACUCUUCACAGUUUGACCUCGGAGAUCAAGCUGUAAGAGGACUGCCUAA
rnacentral:pre_miRNA from 1 species